UGUUUCUAUUUUGGAACAUUUUUUUAUUCUAUUUUGUUUUAAUCCUUUUAUUUGAGUAGAAGAUUCAAUUGAAUAUCAAGUGAAAAGUCAACGGUCAGUGGUCAAUGGAAGUCUGAACGAUAUUUUUUGCCAUAUUCCAACGUCCAGGGCAAAUAACGAACUCGAACAUGAUUCGUAUUCGUAUAAAUUGGAUAUUCUCUGGAUGGAUGAUUAAUAUUAUCUUUCUCUAUUUUUCUUCCUAUUACCUUGACUCAAUAAAUGAGAAAUUAUCUUGAGGACUUCAAAUCUUCUCAAUGAUGGAUAAUGAUCACUUUUUUUUCUUCUUCUUCCUCCUCUAAACGUAGCUCAUUAUUUACAACUUUCUCUGUAAAAACCAUCAUGUUCAUGAUGAUUAAACUGUGAAUAUAAACAAGAACAAGUUUCAAAUAGCUGAAGAUUUACUCAGAUGAUUUGCAGAAAAAUAUCAAAUUGAUAAGGUAAAAGAUGAUUAAAAGCGUGAUGGUUGGUCUAGCGGAGAGAAAGAGAGACACUUUCGUGUGGCCUGGAUUCGCUUCAAUUACAAUCACAAUUCUAAUCAAUAUCUUAACGUAAACGAGUGAAAAUCUUCAGAUAAUCGAAGCUUCUUCUUCUUCUCUCUCUCUCUUCCUCUAAUUAGUUUGAAUAUUAAUCAAAUUUUAAGAGUAAAAUGUUAGUAUAUCCAAGAGAAAGAACGAAAAAAAAACUUAUCAAAUUUUCAGAUUUCUUUUUAUGAUAAACUUUUACUCUAAUUAUAUUGUUAUAAACAGGAGAUGAUUGGUAAACAAAUUAACCAUUCCAACUACAGUAAGAAAAAAAAGGAAGGAUAAAUUGGUCAACAAUUUAAUUGAAGGAGUGUAUUGAUUAACAAGUAAAAAGGCAUUAAUCGUUGAUGAGGCCAUUUAAAAUCAUUUGUAUUAUAUGAUUUGUAUUUAUAUUUUGUGUUGUUCUUAUAUUUAAUUUGAUUUGUUUAUUUAUACAUUUGAAAGAUGAAAUUUACUGCUUUCAAAUGUUUAACUGUAAUUUCCUCUAAUUUUAACUGUUUCUCAUUUGUUUCCAUCUCUUAAUCCACUUUUAGGCCAAUCCCAUGAUAUUUAUAAACCAUCACCAUGAUGAUGGUGAUCGUUUCUCCAUCAACAAGGGCCAGUAUUACAAUUGAUCAUUGCGAAGGCGUAACAAUGAAUAUCCAUUAUUUUGGUUAUCUCCAUAAAAUAUAUUUCAAAGUUUCCUCAAUAAUCAUAAUAAUAUUGCAAACCAAUCAUCUUUGGCUCUUUUCCUCUGGAUCUUGUUAAAAAUGUUCAAAUCUCAUUUGGCGAACUCAUUCACUGUCAGUGAGUCAAUCACCUCUCUCUCUCUCAUCAUCAUCAUCAUCCAUUCACAAGUUCUUGGCCUUCUUAAGAUACUUUUCUUAAUUCUCACUGAAUAAUCUGCUCAAUUUAUUUUCUUUUUUCUCUUUCUUCCUCCCGAAAAAUUCACAAACACCCAAUGAUAUAUUUAUACUUUCCAAGGUUCUACUUUAAUACCAGGAAACAAAUUGAUUGAUUGUCAACUGAUUUUCGCUGAUAAACCAUUGACUUAAUUUCUUACUCAAUCAUUUGGCAAAUACUUAACAUACACUGUUAACAAAUCGUCUCAAUAAUCUUUCAACUUAUCGUGAUAUAUGAUUGUCUCCGAUUCCAUCAAUGAAGAUUACAACUCUCAUAUUAUCACAAUAAAUAUAUUACAAUAAUAAUCAUCAUCUUCAUCUUUGUGUCAUUCAUAUAAUUAUAAUGGCAGGAGGGAUUGAGGGGCAUUCUGAUCCUUGUCAAGAUUAUUGUAAAUACUUACCAACAAUUACAAUCAUUUAUACAGCGAGAAAAAUUAACAUAAUCAUCAUUAUGAUUCCUUACCACAAGAAUAUCAACAAUUUAAUUGAUUUAAUAACAAUUAUAAUGAUGAUAAUAUCUACUAUUUUGGCAUCAUGUUAACAAUUAACCAUUUGCUUUUACAAGGCUACUGUAAUGUGAUUAAUUGUUGUAUGGUAUCGUUCAUUGAAACUGUGAUAUUUGAUUACAAUUUAAUUGCCAUAAAGUUAAAUUAUUGGUAAAGUUCAAUGGAAAAUGUAUAAGAUGAUUUAAAGAUAAUCGAGAGAUUGAAGAUUAUCCUCUCAUGAUCAAAUUCUGUCGAGAUUAUCUCAUCUUUUUUGCACCGAAUUAACCAGUAAAACCUUUGUCUUUAUCAUCGUAAUUUAAUUUCAUUGUUAAAUUGUUUCUGUACAAAUUAAUUGACAAUCAUCGCUAUUAAUCAAUAUGAUAAUCCUCAGACUUGUUAAUCUCAACUCUUUCAAGAUUA